UCUAGUAAUAGCAUUGUCAUGUAAGGUUUCCACAACAAAUAUGCAAAAAGUGGGGGAUCAGCAAACAGAUCAGUGCCAGAUUUAGACAACUUGCAAGUAGUUGCCAUAGGUGAGGAGAUAGGCUGAGCCUCUAUCAUCUUGGUUUUAUGAAGAAGAUCUCGAAUAUAUGUACUCUGAGUGAGAACAAGAGUUAUCUGGCAUAGACUUAACCUCAAUUCCCAAGAAAUAGUCUAGUUUUCC
rnacentral:lncRNA from 1 species